rnacentral:rRNA from 1 species
AGCUUGUUGACCACUUAUAACAAGUGAAUUCUGCCCAGUGAUUUAUUUUCAACGGCCGCGGUAGACUGACCGUGCAAAGGUAGCAUAAUCACUUGCCUUUUAAUUGGAGGCUUGAAUGAAUGAAUAAACGAGAAUUUAACUUUUCCUCAUUUUUCAUUAAAAAUUAUUCCUCAGGUGAAGAAACCUGAAUUUAGUAAAAAGACAAGAAGACCCUAUCAAGCUUUAUAUUUUUAUUAACCAAAUUAUUAAAAUAUUUGAUUGGGGCGAUUAAUGGAGAAACCUAUUCCUCCAUAUUCUUAAAGAAAAAUUCUUCUUAUUUCUUAAUUAUUUAAAACGAGAAAGCUACUGUAGGGAUAACAGGCUAAUAUCUUCUAAGAGUCCAAAUUAAAGAAGAUGAUUGGCACCUCGAUGUUGGCUUAGGGUCCCAUUUUCUCGCAGGAGAGAAAGAAAGGUAGUUUGUUCAACUAUUUAACCCCU